ACCUACGGGACGCAGCAGUAGGGAAUCUUCCACAAUGGGCGAAAGCCUGAUGGAGCAACGCCGCGUGGGUGAAGAAGGUCUUCGGAUCGUAAAACCCUGUUGUUAGAGAAGAAAGUGCGUGAGAGUAACUGUUCACAUUUCGACGGUAUCUAACCAGAAAGCCACGGCUAACUACGUGCCAGCAGCCGCGGUAAUACGUAGGUGGCAAGCGCUAUCCGGAUUUAUUGGGCGUAAAGGGAACGCAGGCGGUCUUUUAAGUCUGAUGUGAAAGCCUUCGGCAUAACCGGAGGAGUGCAUUGGAAACU
rnacentral:rRNA from 1 species